rnacentral:ncRNA from 1 species
UAAGAAGAGGCGCAACUGACAAGAGUAGCCAUCCGGAAUCGAUAAAGCGGUAACGAUGGAUGGUAAAAGGGGAUGUUGCCGAAACUAACGGUUACUUUAUUAACUGAAGUGUUGGGGUCCAAUUUAAUAAAUUGGAAACUGUCGUAGUUUUUAACUACGGAGUGCUUUUA